rnacentral:rRNA from 1 species
UACAGAGGGGGGCGAGCGUUGUUCGGAUUCACUGGGCGUAAAGGGUGCGUAGGCGGUCGGGUAAGUCUGACGUGAAAUCUUCAAGCUCAACUUGGAAACUGCGUCCGAUACUAUUCGGCUAGAGGAAUGGAGGGGAGACUGGAAUACUUGGUGUAGCAGUGAAAUGCGUAGAUAUCAAGAGGAACACCAGUGGCGAAGGCGGCGUUCUGGACUGCAACUGACACUGAAGAACGAAAGCCAGGGGAGCAAACGGG